GCGGAUGUAGCUCAGUUGGUAGAGCGUCUGCUUGCCAUGCAGAAGGUCGUGGGUUCGAGUCCCAUCAUCCGCU
rnacentral:tRNA from 2 species